GACGAACGCUGGCGGCGUGCCUAAUACAUGCAAGUCGAACGAAAGCGACCGGUGCUUGCACUGGUCAAUCUAGUGGCGGACGGGUGAGUAACACGUGGGUAACCUGCCCAUCAGACGGGGAUAACAUCCGGAAACGGAUGCUAACACCGCAUAGGUCUUCGAGCCGCAUGGCUUCAAGAUGAAAAGCGGCGCUAGCUUCUGCUGAUGGCUGAACCCGCGUUGCAUUAGCUAGUUGGAAAGGUAACGGCUCACCAAGGCCCUGAUGCAUAGCCGACCUGAGAGGGUGAUCGGCCACAUUGGGACUGAGACACGGACCAAACUCCUACGGGAGGCAGCAGUAGGGAAUCUUCCGCAAUGGACGCAAGUCUGACGGAGCAACGCCGCGUGAGUGAAGAAGGUCUUCGGAUCGUAAAACUCUGUUGUUAGGGAAGAACAAAUGCGAGAGUAACUGUUAGCGGCUUGACGGUAUCUAACCAGAAAGCCACGGCUAACUACGUG
rnacentral:rRNA from 1 species